rnacentral:rRNA from 1 species
GACUUCUGGUUUAAUGUGCCUGGCCCGCGGCUCUUUAGGCUUGUGUGUGCCGGUGCGCGUUUACCAUCCUUCUGGGGAACGAGUCUACCCUUAACUGGGCCGGAUUCGGGAUCCAGAUCAUUUACUUUGAAAAAAUUAGAGUGUUUCAAGCAGGCAUGUUUUGCUAUGAAUACAUUAGCAUGGAAUAAUAAUCUAGGACUUUCGGUUCUAUUUUGUUGGUGUUCUGGAGCUGAAGUAAUGAUUGAUAGGGAUAGUUGGGGGUGCUAGUAUUCAAUGGCCAGAGGUGAAAUUCUCGGAUUCCUUGAAGACUAACUUAUGCGAAAGCAUU